rnacentral:rRNA from 1 species
GCACAAGCGGUGGAGUAUGUGGUUUAAUUCGACGCAACGCGCAGAACCUUUACCUGGUCUUGACAUCCCGAGAAUCUUCUGGAAACAGUUGAGUGCCUUCAACCGAAGGAGCUUGGAGACAGGUGCUGCAUGGCUGUCGUCAGCUCGUGUCGUGAGAUGUUGGGUUAAGUCCCGCAACGAGCGCAACCCUCGCCUUUAGUUGCCAGCAUUAAGUUGGGCACUCUAGAGGGACUGCCGGUGUCAAACCGGAGGAAGGUGGGGAUGACGUCAAGUCCUCAUGGCCUUUAUGACCAGGGCUACACACGUACUACAAUGGCCGGCACAAAGGGCAGCAAGCCUGCGAAGGUAAGCUAAUCCCGAAAAACCGGUCUCAGUCCGGAUCGCAGUCUGCAACUCGACUGCGUGAAGUUGGAAUCGCUAGUAAUCGUGGAUCAGCAUGCCACGGUGAAUACGUUCCCGGGCCUU